CAGCCGUAAACUAAUGCGCGUUAGGUGUACUGGUGACCACGAGUCACCGGGGUGCCGAAGGGAAACCGUGAAACGUGCCGCCUGGGAAGUACGGUCGCAAGGCUGAAACUUAAAGGAAUUGGCGGGGGGAGCACCACAACGGGUGGAGCCUGCGGUUUAAUUGGACUCAACGCCGGAAAUCUCACCGGAUAGGACAGACAUAUGAUAGUCGGGCUGAAGACUCUACUUGAUGAUCUGAGAGGAGGUGCAUGGCGUCAGUGACU
rnacentral:rRNA from 1 species